rnacentral:rRNA from 1 species
UACGUAGGGGCCUAGCGUUGUCCGGAAUUAUUGGGCGUAAAGAGCUCGUAGGCGGUUCGGCAAGUCGGAUGUGAAAGUCGGGGGCUUAACCCUCGGAUGCCGGUGGAUACUGUCGGGCUUGAGUACGGAAGAGGCGAGUGGAAUUCCUGGUGUAGCGGUGAAAUGCGCAGAUAUCAGGAGGAACACCAAUGGCGAAGGCAGCACUCUGGGACGUGACUGACGCUGAGACGCGAAAGCGUGGGGAGCAAACAGG